GAUGAACGCUGACAGAAUGCUUAACACAUGCAAGUCUUUGGCGAAGCUGUGCUUGCACAGCCUAGCCAAGGCGGACGGGUGAGUAACGCGUAAGGAACUUGCCCUGCAGUCAGGGAUAACAGACGGAAACGACUGAUAAGACCUGGUAAAGUCAGGCGGACUCAUGUCCAGCCUGAUGAAAAGAGAUGCUGCAGGAGAGCCUUGCGUCCUAUUAGCUUGUUGGUGGGGUAACGGCCCACCAAGGCGAUGAUAGGUAGCCGGCCUGAGAGGGUGGACGGCCACAAGGGGACUGAGAUACGGCACUUACUCCUACGGGAGGCAGCAGUGGGGAAUAUUGGACAAUGGGGGCAACCCUGAUCCAGCAAUUCUGUGUGCACGAUGAAGGUUUUCGGAUUGUAAAGUGCUUUCAGCAGGGAAGAUAAAAAUGACGGUACCUGCAGAAGAAGCGACGGCUAAAUACGUG
rnacentral:rRNA from 1 species